CCGUUACUAGCUCAUUGUUCUUAGUUCAGCUGCCCGAAAAAAGGUAACUUCCCUUUUAUAUAAUGUUCUCCUCAUCUCCUCGUCUGUUUCUAGCUAUAUUUUUUGUUUGAAAGACUUUGUUCUGUGGCUGUAUGUUAUUAUUUGUAGUUGGGUUGAUGAUGAUGUUAGCAUGUUGUAUGUACUCUUAGUCAUUUCUAUGAGUCAGUCCUAACAUCAGGUCUCGUUGGCAUUUACUCUGCUGCUUUAUUCGAUUGUUGUUUUGUUGUUCUUCCUUCGUGAGCCGGCUUCUCGAACAUAGUUGAAUCUGUGUUGUCGUUUAAUAUUCGAUAUCAUAUGCUUCAUUUUUUCACCUUAAGUUGAAUAAAUGAACCAAGAGGUCAACACUAUGAGUUAUGUGUCGUGUAUGCUAUUGUUUUGAGCUCUUAGACUGAAUUUAGAUUGCAACAUGUUCUGUUUUCUUAUUUCUUUUCAUAAGUUCGACACCUGGUUCACUCUUUUCGCCUCUUGGAGUGUUGAAAUUUGAAAGUCUAUAUGUCAUUUUGUUGUCGUUAACUAGCAUUGAGUUGUUUAUUCAAGUUAGUCCAGUAUUCGUUCGGCAUCGCUCCGCUCUAUUUAAAAUUGAGCUAUAUCUUACCAAGUUUUGCUUGUAUGUUAUUUUGGUCUUAGCCUUGAAUCAUGCUAAAAAUGAUUUUAAUGUAUACAUCUAAGUCGUUUCGAUAUAUUGGUCUCGGUUGCUUCACUUUUUCCCGUUUUAUUUGACUAGUUUUUGGUCUUGUUAGAGAGAAGGUUCGUUUAUCAAUCUUGUUUAUUCUAUGUUUGCAUCGGCUAACUAGCGUCCAUCUUUUGAGGUUGACUUUUUCUUGACUUUCCUGUGUAUAUAUGCUACUAUUGGAGGGUCUCAAAUGCCUACUCUAAUCUUCUGGGUUAAAGUCUAUUGCCAUGUUUAUGGUUGGUGGUUCGUUAAUAAAUCUCAAGUUUUGCUUCUUCUUUGAAAUAUUUUACUUGUAUGAUGGGCAUAUAUUAAUCCACUAUUCAGUUAGAAGCAUAUCUCUAAGAAUUCCAUUUGUAAUGUUUUGUGUGUUGAAUCAUUGUGAGUUUGCUAUUGUAUAUAAUGCUUAUAUGUUUUAUCAUUCUGCUCAAUACUUCUUAUGACUUAAUACUUAUGUACUUUAUUUGUUGUGUUGCAUGUGAAUCUGCCUUGAGUCCUCACGGACUUCUCUAUUCCCAAUGCAUUUGAUUUGGGUCGUAAAGGCCCAAAUUUUCUCUUCUUGCUCGAGUCAGCCCCCAUAUCUGAGUGAAAGAAAUUGAUGAACAAGUUGAGGGCAGUACAAGUGGCAAGAAAUUGGAUUUUUGGUGUCCGAAAAGCUCGAAAAGAGGCUGAUAUACCUGAUGUAUACACUGGUAUACAGGCGGAUAUACAAUAUACAAGUCACAAAAAUGUGAGAAUACAGGUUCGAAUUAGAAAUACAGGUCAAAAUUUGAUAUACAUGAAUGAUGCAGAAAUACGGCCCAAGAUACGGCCCAUAUACAGUGGUAUACAUAGAAUGUAUACGCAUAUUUUCCAAAGGGAAAUAGGCCCAAAAGCCUUAAAAAAUUUCCAGCAGGUUCGGGUAGUAGAAAAAUGGGCCAUUGCCUAACGAAAUGAGUACCAGCAGCUAUUUUGAUGAAAAUUAGGCCAAAAACCCAUCAUUUUGGGCUUGUCUUUAGUAUUAGGAUAGGUUCAUAAAAUUUUGAAUUUGGGGGCAAAGUCCAUUAUUUGGACCAAUUUUUUUAGAGUUAGGACAGGUGGGCCCAAGGCCUAACUUAGCUGAAUUUGAGCAAAUGGCCCAAAUUCAAGCAUUCUCUCAUUUUUCCUCUUUAUUUAUUUGUUAUUGUAUUGACUAACAUUUUGGUUUAACUUAAUUAAUUCCCAAGAGAUAGUCAUUUCUCUUUUUAUGUUCAGAAUAUAUAUAUUUAUUACUUA
rnacentral:lncRNA from 1 species